CACGACAUUCGCGCUUUCAUUACGGACGCCACCCGGCAAACUGACGCCGUUCGCCGUUUUUAUUUCUUAACACCCGUGCUUUUUCAUUGGACAAAUUUUUCCCGCCAAUUGCAGAGAAACGUGUGAAAUUACAUGCGCACGCACGCUGAGGAAAAGGUUGGAAGUUGGAAAAAGAGACACGACCAACAACGUUUAUUAUAUUGUAUAUUUGAAAAACACUUUACAUGAUCAUUAUUCGACGAUAUUGAAAAUGUACUACGUCUCUCUCCGCAUUGUUCGAGUUAGUGUAUCGGUAAAUAUAUAACAUUUUGUAGGAAGACUUUUUACAUUAUGUCCGAGGUAAGGUUCGUCACGCGUCUCGCAACGUAUUGUGAAAUACAAGUCUGAAUUUAUAGUGCGUCACUUGUCGUAUCCCUGCGCUGCACAAAUACAGUGUGUUGAGUGUACCGGCCGUUUUGUUUUU